rnacentral:rRNA from 1 species
GAUGAACGCUGACAGAAUGCUUAACACAUGCAAGUCGAUGAGAAGACUUCCUUCGGGAAGAGGGUAUCAUGGCGGACGGGUGAGUAACGCGUAAAGAACUUGCCGUAUGGACUGGGAUAACCGAUGGAAACAACGGAUAAGACCAGAUAUAAUGAUUAGAUGGCAUCAUCUGAUUAUGAAAAGCAAUGCCAUACGAGAGCUUUGCGUCCUAUUAGCUAGUUGGUAGGGUAAGAGCUUACCAAGGCGAUGAUAGGUAGCCGGCCUGAGAGGGUGGACGGCCACAAGGGGACUGAGAUACGGCCCUUACUCUUACGGGAGGCAGCAGUGGGGAAUAUUGGACAAUGGAGGUAACUCUGAUCCAGCAAUUCUGUGUGCACGAAGAAGGUUUUCGGAUUGUAAAGUGCUUUAAGUUGGGAAGAAAAAAAUGACGGUACCAACAGAAUAAGCGACGGCUAAAUACGUGCCAGCCGCCGCCGUAACAC